UCCACAGCAACUACAUAAAUUUAUCCACUAACCAUUCAGAAAUGUCUAAAAGUUGUAACUUCUUCCUGAGUCUCUCCAUCAGUGUCGACUCCGGUUUGAACAAUGUAAGGCUGAACACCGUCGUCAUUUUGGCUGCGUGAGAUUCUUCAGCUUUGUUGUUCGUGAGCUGUUAAAGCUCCGCCCUCUUCUGGAAAGGGGGCGGGAGCAGCAGCUCAUUUGCAUUUAAAGGGACACACACAAAAACGGCGUGUUUUUGCUCACACCCAAAUAGGGGCAAAUUUGACAAGCUAUAAUAAAUGAUCUGUGGGGUAUUUUGAGCUGAAACUUCAGACACACAUUCUGGGGACAC